AGAGUUUGAUCCUGGCUCAGAACGAACGCUGGUAGCGUGGAUUAGGCAUGCAAGUCGAACGGGAUCACCUGGAUAGCAAUAUUCGGGUGUGAGAGUGGCGGAUUGGGGAGGAACACGUGAACAACCUGCCCGUGAGUUGGGGAAAACCAUUGGAAACGAUGGCUAAUAUCCGAUGUGGCGCCCGAGGACAUCCUCGGAACGCUAAAGGGGGCCGCAAGGCUCCCGCUCGUGGAGGGGUUCGCGCACCAUCAGCUUGUUGGCGGGGUAACGGCCCACCAAGGCCUACGGUUAGCUGGUCUGAGAGGAUGACCAGCCCCACUGGGACUGAGAUACUGCCCAGACUCCUACGGGAGGCUGCAGUCGAGGAUCAUUUGCAAUGGGCGAAAGCCUGACAAUGCGACGCUGCGUGGAGGAUGAAGGCCUUCGGGUUGUAAACUCCUGUCAUAGGGGAACAGGCGAUCGGACCUAAUACGUCCGUGAGUUGAGUGUACCCUAAGAGGAAUUGGCGGCUAACUCUGUGCCAGCAGCCGCGGUAAUACAGAGGCCAAGAGCGUUGUUCGGAUUUACUGGGCGUAAAGGGCGCGUAGGCGGUCUUGCGUGUCAAGUGUGAAAUCUCCGGGCUCAACCCGGAAAGUGCGCUUGAAACUACAGGACUCGAGUCUGGGAGAGGGAAUCGGAAUAUAGGGUGUAGCGGUGAAAUGCGUUGAUAUCCUAUAGAACACCGGAGGCGAAGGCGGAUUCCUUGAACAGCACUGACGCUGAGGCGCGAAAGUCGGGGGAGCAAACAGGAUUAGAUACCCUGGUAGUCCCGACCUUAAACGGUGCACACUCGGGGUGGGG
rnacentral:rRNA from 1 species